UUAGCUCAUUUUUGUAUGGAAUGGGAUCGUUUGCGUACGUUUGCCGCUAGGGGCGCUGUUCCAACUGCAUACAAAAUUGGGUUA
rnacentral:pre_miRNA from 1 species